rnacentral:rRNA from 1 species
ACUCCUACGGGAGGCAGCAGUGGGGAAUAUUGCACAAUGGGCGCAAGCCUGAUGCAGCCAUGCCGCGUGUGUGAAGAAGGCCUUCGGGUUGUAAAGCACUUUCAGUCGUGAGGAAGGUAGUGUAGUUAAUAGCUGCAUUAUUUGACGUUAGCGACAGAAGAAGCACCGGCUAACGUCCGUGCCAGCCAGCCGCCGGUAAUCACGGGAGGGUGACGAGGCGGUUAAUCGGAAUUAUACGAUGGGGCGUAAAGCGCAUGCAGGUGGUUUGUUAAGUCAGAUGUGAAAGCCCGGGGCUCAAGCCUCGGAAUUGCAUUUGAAACUGGCAGACUAGAGUACUGUAGAGGGGG